rnacentral:rRNA from 1 species
UUCGGUGACUAUUGCAAUAGGGUCCACCUCUUCCCAUUUCGAACAGAGAAGUUAAGCCUAUUUGCGCAGAUGGUACUAGGGUAAUACCUGGAAGAGUAUGUCGUUGCCACUU